CUCAACUCGGGGACAGCCCCGACACAGAUGUUACUGCAGAGGGACGUCUCAAAAUUUUGCGCUGCCAGGGUGACCGAAGUAGGGCUUCAGAGCCACGAGCGGUCCGCACGCGACCCAGACUGCGAUUCUGGGCAGUGGCCGCAGGAUAGAUGAGAACUAGCAAGCGGAGUUCGCUUAGCUUACAAUUGCUUCUCUUCCCGCCUUAGUCUUCUCAGUUGAAGGAACAAAAAAUGGAUACAAAAACAAGAGUAUGGCAGAUGGUGAUAGAUUCAACACGAGAAAGUGGAGGAGAAAAGCGAGGAUGGGAAAGCCAGGGGCCUUCACAUCAAUGUAGAGUACAGAGUACCAACAAGAGUAUUAGUAGUAAACUAAGAGGAACAGAGAAAUUGAAUUAAAGGUGAGAGCAUGGAGAGACACAGAAGGUACAGUUAUAAUUCAUUUUUAUAAUAAUAAUUACCAUUUGUUAAAUGUCUACUAUGUGUAGACACUAUGUACAUGUUCACUGUCUAAUCUUUAUAGGUAUGAGCAGGUAUUAUUCAUUUAGAAAUGAAAGUGUGUUCAGAACAAAGAGAUCAAGUAUCUUGAUAAAUGUCAUCCUGUUGAUAAGUGGCUGAGCUAAAAAGUUUGAUUGAUUUCCAGUGCAUGAAAAGUCUGAGUCUCCCUACCUAUUUCUUUCCACUGCACCACAUGGCCUUACUUGUAUACACUAAAAAGAUUAUCUAGAUAUUCUGAAUAAAUGGUCAUCCGUAGAUAAUAAAAGAAGUAUAAUACUUUUUUAACCUUAAAAACUAUAUUUAUUCAAUAAACACUUAUUCAACAUGGUACUGGUAUUGUACCUACUAAGCAAGAGAAAAUAACAGUAGUUUGGAAAAAAAUAAAUUCAAAUGGGGAUAUGUUUUUGAAGUACUUGUGGGAUAUCCUAAUUGAAAUGCCUAGGAAUAAGCUGAAAAUUGGUGUAGGACUCAGGGAAAGGAUCAAUCAUUCAAUAAAUAUUUAUUGGGCACCUACUUUGUUCAAGGCAUAGACAAAACCUUAGCAUACCCACAGGAUAUUCAGGGUACCUUAGGUAUUGGCUGAAAACAAUUUUUUUUAGUUACCACUAAGGAAAUGAGCAUCGACAUUACAGGAGUAGAGAAGAUUACUCAAAGGAUACUUAUAUUAUGCAGAGUAAGAGGAGGGGAGAAAGGGCUAAAGACAGCUUAACAAUCAAUAAAAUUUAAUAAAAAAGUUUUAGAAAAGGGGUUCAUGAAAGCAAAAUUAAGAGAAUCUAACUAAGAACCAAGAAAGAAAGAGUUAUAUGAUGGAAGCUAGAAAGAGGAAAUGUUGAGUCUUAUCUUUAAUGAAUGAAUUUUUGCUUCAACUAUCAUCUCUAAGUCAUAAACAUGUUUGGCUUCUAUCUUCAGGACCAUGUGCCAAAUUGGUGUCCCAUUUCUUGGGCUUAAGGCAAAGGCUCCCAGUUUAUUGGAAUGCUGGUGAGAAACUUGGAGUUGAUAGUACCCGAAUCCUCUAUAGCUACAGUCCCCAACCCCUGGGCUGCAGACUGUUACUGGUAGCCUGUUAGCAACUGGGCUGCAGCAGGAGGUGAGUAGCAAGUGAGCAAAGCUUCAUGUGUAUUUACAGGCGCUCCCCAUCACUCACA